rnacentral:rRNA from 1 species
UACGUAGGGGGCAAGCGUUGUCCGGAUUUAUUGGGCGUAAAGAGCUCGUAGGUGGUUUGGUAAGUCGGAUGUGAAAUCUCCAGGCUCAACCUGGAGGGGUCAUUCGAUACUGCCAUGACUAGAGGUCGGUAGGGGAGUGUGGAAUUCCUGGUGGAGCGGUGAAAUGCGCAGAUAUCAGGAGGAACACCCGUAGCGAAGGCGGCACUCUGGGCCGAUUCUGACACUGGGGAGCGAAAGCGUGGGGAGCGAACAGG